UACGUAGGGGGCUAGCGUUGUCCGGAUUUAUUGGGCGUAAAGAGCUCGUAGGCGGCUUGGCAAGUCGGGUGUGAAAACUUCAGGCUCAACCGUGGAGCGGCCACUCGAUACUGCCAUGGCUUGAGUCCGGUAGGGGACCACGGAAUUCCUGGUGUAGCGGUGGAAAUGCGCAGACUAUCAGGAGGAACACCAGUGGCGAAGGCGGUGGUCUGGGCCGGAACUGACGCUGAGGAGCGAAAGCGUGGGUAGCAAACAGG
rnacentral:rRNA from 1 species